GCCAGUCGAACGACCCGGACUAUGGCGGGGAGUGGCAGACUGCCCAGUAACACGUAGCUAACCUACCCUCGGGACGGGGAUAACCCCGGGAAACUGGGGCUAAUACCCGAUAGGUGUGGAUUCCUGGAAUGGUGCCAUGCCUAAACGUAAGCACAUCCAUGUUUGUGUGCACGCCCGAGGAUGGGGCUGCGGCCGAUCAGGCAGUUGGUGAGGUAACGGCUCACCAAACCUUUGACCGGUACGGGCCAUGAGAGUGGUAGCCCGGAGAUGGGCACUGAGACAAGGGCCCAGGCCCUACGGGGCGCAGCAGGCGCGAAACCUCCACAAUUCACGCAAGUGAGAUGGGGUUACCUCGAGUGCUAUCUGAAGAAGGUGGCUUUUCCAUGGUGUAAUGAGCCGUGGGAAUAAGGGGGGGGCAAGACUGGUGUCAGCCGCCGCGGUAACACCAGCCCCCCGAGUGGUGGGGAUGAUUAUUUGGCCUAAAGCGUCCGUAGCCAGCUCGGUAAAUCUCUCGUUAAAUCCAGCGUCCUAAGCGUUGGGCUGCGAGGGAAACUGCCGAACUAGAGGGUGGGAGAGGUCAGCGGUAUUCCUGGGGUAGGGGCGAAAUCCAUUGAUCCCAGGAGGACCACCAGUGGCGAAGGCUGCUGACUAGAACACGCCUGACGGUGAGGGACGAAAGCUGGGGUAGCGAAUCGGAUUAGAUACCCGAGUAGUCCCAGCCGUAAACGAUGCAGGCUAGGUGUUG
rnacentral:rRNA from 1 species